UUACCGCGCAACUAGCUACGCAACUAGUUACGCGGGAAGCGAACGCGGACCAGGUCUUCGUCGACUACAAUGUACUAGUUCUGCAACUAGUUACGCGGGAAGCGAACGCGGACCAGUCGAAAAAGAACCGAAAAACGAAGCCGCCUUCGGUUUGUUUUUGAAGGCGGCAAAUAACCGCAAUUCCGUGGAGUUACAGUGCCCACUCAGCUAGUUUUUACCGAGCCACGACAUGCAAUAAGCACCGAAAUGCCAGCUGGCGUUUUGAGCGGCUUAAACUUUAUUUUGAGUGAGGAAAUUGUUCUAGCCUAUAACGUAAGGGAAGAAGGCCCUUAGGACCCACAAAGAAUUUUUUGCAGCUUUGCUAGAAUGUAUUCCGCCUGGCGAUGAGCCCCCCGAAAACACUG